AAUCAACGCUGGCGGCGUGCCUCAGACAUGCAAGUCGAACGAUUAAAGCUCCCUUCGGGGAGUGCAUAGAGUGGCGCACGGGUGAGUAACACGUAAGUAAUCUACCUUCGAGUGGGGAAUAACGUCCGGAAACGGACGCUAAUACCGCAUAAUGCAGCGGCAUUGCAAGAUGACAGUUGUUAAAGAUUUAUCGCUUGAAGAGGAGCUUGCGGCAGAUUAGCUAGUUGGUAAGGUAAUGGCUUACCAAGGCUACGAUCUGUAACCGGUCUUAGAGGACGGUCGGUCACACUGACACUGAAUAACGGGUCAGACUCCUACGGGAGGCAGCAGUCGGGAAUUUUGGGCAAUGGGCGAAAGCCUGACCCAGCAACGCCGCGUGAAGGAUGAAGUAUUUCGGUAUGUAAACUUCGAAAGAAUGGGAAGAAUCAAUGACGGUACCAUUUAUAAGGUCCGGCUAACUACGUGCCAGCAGCCGCAGUAA
rnacentral:rRNA from 1 species